AUAUCAGUCAUGCAUAGCAUAUCAAUAAGCGGAGGAAAAGAAACUAACAAGGAUUCCCCUAGUAACUGCGAGUGAAGCGGGAAGAGCUCAAAUUUGAAAUCUUAAAAGGUUUUCCUUUUACGAAUUGUAGUUUAAAGAAGUGUUUUCUGUUGAAAUUUUAGUAAAAGUUCUUUGGAAUAGGACAUCAUAGAGGGUGAGAAUCCCGUAUUUGACUAGAAUUUUUCAACUUUGUGAUACACUUUCAAAGAGUCGGAUUGUUUGGGAAUGCAGUCCAAAAUGGGUGGUAAAUUUCAUCUAAAGCUAAAUAUUGGCGAGAGACCGAUAGCGAACAAGUACCGUGAGGGAAAGAUGAAAAGAACUUUGAAAAGAGAGUUAAAUAGUACGUGAAAUUGUCAAAAGGGAAGCGUUUGGCACCAGUGUUGUUUUUCUAAAAAUCAAUUUAAAAUUUGCUUAUGCUAAGUUUUUUAGACUUAAUCGGCUAAUAAUUUAGUUUUUUGUAAUUUUUGAAUGCACUUUUUAGUUAACAAGUCAACAUCAAUUUCUUUUGUUGUAAAAGAAUAAGAGGAAGGUGGCUUGGGAUUCGUUUCGAGUGUUUAUAGCCUUUUAUUUCUGCAAUAGGAGGGAUUGAGGUCUGCAGCAUAGAUCCUUCGGGGCUAGAUGCAUUUUCGCUAAGAGUCAGUAUUAUAUAAACAACUUGUUGAUUAUGUAGUAUGUUGAUUUCUACUCGGGAGUGUUAUUUUACCUACGCUUAGGAUGUUGAUCUACAGAGCGAGAGU
rnacentral:rRNA from 1 species